rfam:Ictidomys tridecemlineatus contig063929, whole genome shotgun sequence.
GGGGUUGUGGCUCAGUGGUAGAGCGCUUACCUGGCAUGCAAGAGACACUGGGUUUGAUUCUCAGCACCA